CAGUCGCCGCGGUAAGACGGAGGGUGCUAGCGUUGUUCGGAAUCACUGGGCGUAAAGGGCGCGUAGGCGGCCUGUUAAGUCGGAUGUGAAAGCCCGGGGCUCAACCCCGGAACUGCAUCCGAGACUGGCAGGCUUGGGACCGGGGGAGGAGGGUGGAAUAUCCAGUGUAGAGGUGAAAUUCGUAGAUAUUGGAUGGAACACCGGUGGCGAAAGCGGCUCUCUGGCCCGGAUCUGACGCUGAGGCGCGAAAGCGUGGGGAGCAAACAGGAUUAGAUACCCGCGUAGUCCCUGUCUCUUAUAC
rnacentral:rRNA from 1 species